UUACUUUCUGGAGAAAAAACAAUAUCCUUUGAACAGGAUGAAGAUGAUCUAGACUUAGAUUUGGAAGGCGUUAAUAUUGACGACAAUAUAGACACAACGGAUAUCAAUAUCGACGAUGAUUUAUUGAGCGAUUGAAAUUGGCCAUUCAGCGAUGGAAAUUGUGUAUAAAUUUUUAUAAACUAUAGUUCCCAGAUUAUAUUGAUUUAUUAUUCAACUAAUUCUAUAAA